rnacentral:rRNA from 1 species
GAUGAACGCUGGCGGCGUGCCUAAUACAUGCAAGUCGAACGCUGAAGGAGGAGCUUGCUCUUGGGGAUGAGUGGCGAACGGGUGAGUAACGCGUAGGUAACCUGCCUGGUAGGGGGGGAAAACUGGUGGAAACGAGAGUUAAUACCGCAAGAAACCAGUUAUGACAUGAUAACUGUUUAAAAGGGGCAACUGCUCCACUACCAGAUGGCUCUGCGUUGUAUUAGCUAGUUGGUGGGGUAACGGGCCACCAAGGCGACGAUACAUAGACGACACGAGAGGGGGAUCGGCCCAACUGGGACUGAGACACCGCCCAAACUCCCACGGGAGGCAGCCGUAGGGAAUCUUCGGCAAUGGACGGAAGGCUGACCGAGCAACGCCGCGGGAGUGAAGAAGGUUUUCGGAUCGUAAAACUCUGUUGUUAGAGAAGAACGAGUGUGAGAGUGGAAAGUUCACACUGUGACGGUAUCUGACCAGAAAGGGACGGCUAACUACGUG